GACGAACGCUGGCGGCGUGCUUAACACAUGCAAGUCGAACGGAAAGGCCCUGCUUUUGUGGGGUGCUCGAGUGGCGAACGGGUGAGUAACACGUGAGUAACCUGCCCUUGACUUUGGGAUAACUUCAGGAAACUGGGGCUAAUACCGGAUAGGAGCUCCUGCUGCAUGGUGGGGGUUGGAAAGUUUCGGCGGUUGGGGAUGGACUCGCGGCUUAUCAGCUUGUUGGUGGGGUAGUGGCUUACAAAGGCUUUGACGGGUAGCCGGCCUGAGAGGGUGACCGGCCACAUUGGGACUGAGAGACGGCCCAGACUCCUACGGGAGGCAGCAGUGGGGAAUAUUGCACAAUGGGCGGAAGCCUGAUGCAGCAACGCCGCGUGCGGGAUGACGGCCUUCGGGUUGUAAACCGCUUUCGCCUGUGACGAAGCGUGAGUGACGGUAAUGGGUAAAGAAGCACCGGCUAACUACGUG
rnacentral:rRNA from 1 species